rnacentral:rRNA from 1 species
GAGUUUGAGCAUGGAUCUAGACGAACGCUGGCGGCUUGCUUAACGCAUGUCCGUCGAGCGAUGAAAUCCCUUCGGGGAUGGAUUACCUGCGAAGGGGUGAGGAACACGUGAAGAAUCUGCCUUCAACUCUGGGAUAACACCGGAAAACCGGUGCUAAUACCGGAUAUGAUCCUUGAUCCCAUGAUCGGAGCUGGAAAGUUUUUCGGUUGAAGAUGACUUCUCGGCCUAUCGUCUAGUUGGUGAGGUAAUAUCUCACCACGGCUACAACGGGUAGCCGGCCUGAGAGGGCGACCGGCCACUCUGGGACUGAGACACGGCCCAUACUCCUACGGGAGGCAGCAGUGGGGAAUAUUGGGCAAUGGAGGAAACUCUGACCCAUCGACGCCGCGUGAGGGAUGAAGGCCUUCCGGUUGUAGACAUCUUUCAGCACGGAAUAAGCAAAAGUGACGGUACCUGUGUAAGAUGCACCGGCUAACUAUGUGCCAGCAACCGCGGUAAUACAUAUGGUGCAAGCGUUGUCCGGAAUUAUUGGGCGUAAAGAGAUCGUAAGUGGCUACUUACGUCGGAUGUGAAAAUCUAGGGCUCAACCCUAGAUCUGCAUCCGAUACGGGCCAGCUUGAGUUUGGUAGGGGAGACUGGUUAUUCCUGGUGUAGCGGUGGAAUGCGCAGAUAUCAUGAGGAACAGCAAUGGACGAACGCAGGUCUCUAGGCCAAUACUGACCCUGAGGAGCGAACAUGUGGGAGCGAACAUGAUUAGAUACCCUGGUAGUCCACACAGUUACCGAUGGCACUAAUUGUGUGAACCCUCCACGGCUCUGCGACGCA